UACGGGGGGGGCAAGCGUUGUUCGGAAUUACUGGGCGUAAAGGGCUCGUAGGCGGCCAACUAAGUCGGACGUGAAAUCCCCAGGCUCAACCUGGGAACUGCGUCUGAUACUGGAUGGCUUGAAUCCGGGAGAGGGAUGCAGAAUUCCAGGUGUAGCGGUGAAAUGCGUAGAUAUCUGGAGGAAUACCGGUGGCGAAGGCGGCAUCCUGGACCGAGAUUGACGCUGAUGAGCGAAAGCUAGGGGAGCAAACGGG
rnacentral:rRNA from 1 species